GACGAACGCUGGCGGCGUGCUUAACACAUGCAAGUCGAGCGGUAAGGCCCUUUCGGGGGUACACGAGCGGCGAACGGGUGAGUAACACGUGGGUGACCUGCCCUCAGCUCUGGGAUAAGCCCGGGAAACUGGGUCUAAUACUGGAUAUGACUCCAUGACGCAUGUUGUGGGGUGGAAAGCCUUGUGCGGCUGGGGGAUGGGCCCGCGGCCUAUCAGCUUGUUGGUGGGGGAUGGCCUACCAAGGCGACGACGGGUAGCCGGCCUGAGAGGGCGACGGCCACACUGGGACUGAGACACGGCCCAGACUCCUACGGGAGGCAGCAGUGGGGAAUCUUGCGCAAUGGGCGAAAGCCUGACGCAGCGACGCCGCGUGAGGGAUGACGGCCUGGUGUAAC
rnacentral:rRNA from 1 species